AGCACCCCGCAGCACGGGGACACCUACAAGUGCCACGUGCAGCACGCCAGCCUGAAAAGCCCCAUCACCUACGAAUGGGGUAAGGCCCUGACCCCCGCCUCCUGGGGGCGUCCCGGGGGUCCCGAGCCCCCAGCCUGCUGCAGGAGGGGAGCGGGAGCACGGCCCCGGGCCUGAGGCCCCGCUCCUGUCCCCGCAGUGCUCCCAGCGGAUGCCGCCAGGGGCAAGAUGCUGACGGGCGUCGGGGGCUUGGUGCUGGGGCUCAUCUUCCUGGCGCUGGGGCUCUUCCUCUACGUGCGCAGAAAGGUGAGCGGCCGGGGCGCUGGGGGUGGCGUGGGGCUGGAGGGGCCGCGCUCUCCCCCUGCGCUGCCGCUGACCUGGUCUCGCUGUGUUGCAGGGCGCAUCGCUCCCCCGGCUGCAGGGCUCCUGAAGCAGCUCCGGCUCCUGCGCCUCGGCUCCUCCGUGCCCAGCACCGCCUCUACCCCGUGCUCGCCCGGCUCCUGCCCUCGAUACCCGGUCCCGCAGCCCCACAGCCCUCUGCUGCUCCCUAUGGUCACCCCCUCCCUCGCUCCCAUCCCAUUCUGGCUUGGCUGGGGCCACUGGGAGCCCCAAAUAAAGUGUCCCAGUGCCCCGCGUCCCUGCUGCUGUGGGGAUGGUGGGGCAGGGGCGGGCACCGCGCACACGGCUCCUAAGCCUUGGGGGGGACGGGGCUGCUUGGGGUCUGGGUCUGCAGAGCCCAGCGGGGGCGCUGAGUGAAGGGGUGAAGGCAGCGUCCUGUGGGAGGGGGGCUGGUGGCGGAGCCAGCGUCCUGCUGCCUCUGGGUGUUGGGGAUGGGUGCGGGGUGCGAGGGUCCUGGGCAGGACUUUUGGGGUCUGGGAACUGGGGCACCCAUCCAGCUCCCUCAGGUACCCCUCUCCCCACCCUGAGCCCCAACACGGCCCCACCAGAGCCCGCUGCCCCAAACUGGUCCCCAGGCUGGGACACCCCACGGUCCCCCUGUACCCACCCACCAUCCCCACGCGGUACCCCGGGGGUCACGCCACCGUCCCACCCAGGUCCCACUGUGCUCCCCCCAAAUCCCCCAGUCCCCACAGCAUUUUGGGGCCAAGCACCCCACAAAGUGGCGACAACGGGGCUCCAGUGACACUGGGCUGCCCCCAAGCACCGUUGCUCCGCCGGGCAGCAUGGGGGGUGCCGAGGAACAGCCUCAGGGGGUGGUCGGGGCUGAAGAUGGAGGGGACGAGGGGCGUGGGGCCACCGUGGCACCCUGGGUGUUGGGGGAGUGAAGGCUGGUAGGAGGACUUGAGUAGCCCACGGCUCUAGCACGCCACAGGUCGUGGCCACGGCGCUUGUCCUGCUGCCCCUCGCUGCUGGAGUGCUCCGGCAGCGUCACCCGCUCGGUGGUGGUGGAGAAGUGACACUGCAGCUGGAGGUGGAACUGGAAGAACCCUGCGUGGGUUCUUCUUCCAGACCUCGGCUGCUCCCCGGGGUUGCCCCCUGCCUUGAUCCAUUCCCAGCCCGGCUGUUUCUGGGGACACAUGCUGGUGUCGUUCCUGCCCCAUUCACUCCCCCGCACACACAUUUUGGGUUGGGUUGAGACCUGUUGCCCCCGGGGCUCUUGGCCUCCUUGAGCCCUGUUACGGGCAGGCCUCAAAGGGUUGUAGGAAAUGGGGCCGAAUCAGUCUCCAGGGUCAACAGUGGUGUCCCCUCAGGCUCCAUUUUAGGGCCACUGCUCUUCAAUGUUUUAUAAACCAUG
rnacentral:lncRNA from 1 species